rnacentral:rRNA from 1 species
UGGAGAAGAGACAGAUGCAGCAACGCCGCGGGAGUGAUGAAGGCCUUCGGGUCGUAAAACUCUGGCCUCAAGGAAGAUAAUGACGGUACUUGAGGAGGAAGCCCCGGCUAACUACGUGCCAGCAGCCGCGGUAAGACGUAGGGGGCUAGCGUUAUCCGGAUUUACUGGGCGUAAAGGG